GGACAGGUGCCAGAGUGGUCGAAUGGGCUCGCCUGGAAAGCGGGUGUGGGCGCAAGUUCACCGUGGGUUCGAAUCCCACCCUGUCCGCCA
rnacentral:tRNA from 1 species